rnacentral:ncRNA from 1 species
CCCCAUCCGACCCGUCUUGAAACACGGACCAAGGAGUCUGACAUGCGUGCGAGUCGACGGGUUUUGAAACCUGGGAUGCGCAAGGAAGCUGACGAGCGGGAGGCCCUCACGGGCCGCACCGCUGGCCGACCCUGAUGCUCUGUGAAGGGUUCGAGUUGGAGCACGCCUGUCGGGACCCGAAAGAUGGUGAACUAUGCCUGAGCGGGGCGAAGCCAGAGGAAACUCUGGUGGAGGCUCGAAGCGAUACUGACGUGCAAAUCGUUCGUCUGACUUGGGUACAGGGGCGAAAGACUAAUCGA